ACCUCCAUCGAGAGGGCCCGAACCUGGGUAAAACAUCGUGUCCCUCGUCUCCUGUUACCAUCCGCCUAGACGCACAGUUCGGGACCCCCUACCCGAGAUCCGCCGGUUUUGACACCGACAGUGCUCGUACAUAGAAACAUGGGUAGACACUAUGACAAAAAACACUUACCUAACUGAGGUCGCCAGUUAUAACUCGGUACUGGGGGUUUUGAAACUGGAGAAGAGAAAGGAGGAGAACAAAGAGAAGUUGGAGAAUGAAGAGGAUGACAAUAAAAAGCUAAUACAAAAAGGAGAGCGACAGUUUCAUGUUCUAAGAAAUUGUGAUGUACAUAUUCCUGAGAAGGCUGCAAAGGAUGGAAUAUGUCCAUUUCGUCUGACGUGGUGUGACUACAUCCGUACGUGCUACUUUCGAAAGUAUCUCUCCUUUGUGCAAAGGCGCAUGGAAUCUUAUCUAAAGCCAACAAGGUGAACUCACCGGUUUGUGCGUGGCGGCAUGCCGCGCUUCACUGAUAGGUUCCUAAAGCUAACCAAUGAAAAUGUUCAAAGAACUUGAUGGUGGAAGUUCCAGUAGAGUGAUUAUUCCAGUAACAACACAUUUUAGCAUGGAUCAGUCCCAUAUGUACAUCUUUAUAAUGGAACUGAAUGCUUAUUAUUGCUGGAUUUCUUGGUUAUAUUUUCAAUAUUAAACCAUGAUUAGCACACCAAAUUUAUCCUUGCUUAUAUAUGUGAUUUGUGUUAUAUAUGGUCAACGUGUGAUGUGGAUUGGAGUUAUUUUUC